GCUGGGCGUGGUGGCGCACACCUGUAAUCCCAGUUACUCAGGAGGCUGAGGCAGGAGAAUCGCUUGAACCCAGGGGACGGAGGUUGCAGUGAGCCGAGAUCAUGCCACUGCUCUCCAGCCUGGGUGACAGAGUGAGACUCUGUCUCAA
rnacentral:SRP_RNA from 1 species